CAGUGAAUAACAGGAGUACCACAACAGUCAAUGUGCAGGGUACAAGGUAUUGGGGUAAAGUGACUAGGCAACAGGAUAGAUAGUAGCAGCAGUGUGUGUUGGGAUGUCAGUGUAAGUAUGUGACUGUGGGUGGAGUCCUGUGUGUUUGUGUGUAUCCUGUGUGUGUGUGUGUGUGUGUGUGUGUUGUAGUAGUUUUAAGUCAUGUGUAACUCUCUUUAUGCAGGGCUCUCUCAUCUGGUGAGAACACAGCAGGUUGUCACAGCAACCCUGGGAGAAGAUGCAGUCUUAAACUGUGAACUCAUGAAACCCAAAGACGUGCUGCAAGUCACCUGAAAAAUAAUGACACGGGGCAAAAUGUGAACAUUGGCUCCUAUAGCAAACGAUGUGGACCAGUAGUCAACCCACCUUUUCAGAGGAACGUGGAGUUUGAAGACGAGGGACUGCAGAACUGCUCUAUCGUCAUCAGAGGAGUGUCAAGAGGAGACGAGUCCUGCUACAAGUGUCUGUUUAACACCUUUCCAGAUGGACCUAUCAGUGUCAGGACCUGCCUCCAUGUAAAUGGUGUACCUGAGGUCACUGAUGGUGACAGGAUCAGAGGUCAGUCAUUAAUCUAUUGACCACAACUAAUCUCUGACACUCUUAUCUGUGAAUUGUACCAUUCUCAUCUUGUCAUCUUUCACAUGUAACCCAACAGGGAUUGGUGCAGUGAUGGGUUCACUGUGUUUCGUUGCUGUGGCACUGUGGGGGUGCUGUGGCACUGUGGUGCAAACUGAGAAAUACAACAAGGUAAGUUUUACUGUUCAGAGGACAAAGACAAAAUACAGUAUUCAUUUGACGUUGUUUUUGUAAGUUUGACCAUCUUUAGCCCAAAUCCCACAGCCAAUGACAGAGAACAGGAAGAACUAUCAACACUCAACCCUCAACAUGACCCUGAAAUCCAGAGGUCUAAUCUAACACAUAUUCAAAUGAGUUGCAUUCCUGCAUUGUUGUUCUGAUGUUACUCAUGUCACUUACAUACCUCAUAAAACAAAUAUGUUAAUUACCCUGAUUUAUACAGAACAAUAUGUUAAUUACCCUGAUUUAUACAGAACAAUAUGUGACUUACCCUGAUUUAUACAGAACAAUAUGUGACUUACCCUGAUUUAUACAGAACAAUAUGUUAAUUACCCUGAUUUAUACAGAACAAUAUGUUAAUUACCCCGAUUUAUACAGAACAAUAUGUUAAUUACCCUGAUUUAUACAGAACAAUAUGUUAAUUACCCCGAUUUAUACAGAACAAUAUGUUAAUUACCCUGAUUUAUACAGAACAAUAUGUUAAUUACCCUGAUUUAUACAGAACAAUAUGUUAAUAUACCCUCUUUAUAAAGAACAAUAUGUGAAUUACCCUGAUUUAUACACAACAAUAUGUGAAUUACCCUCUUUACACACAACAAUAUGUGAAUUACCCUGAUUUAUACAGAACAAUAUGUGAAUUACCCUGAUUUAUACAGAACAAUAUGUGAAUUACCCUGAUUUAUACAGAACAAUAUGUUAAUUACCCUCUUUACACACAACAAUAUGUGAAUUACCCUGAUUUAUACAGAACAAUAUGUUAAUUACCCUCUUUACACACAACAAUAUGUGAAUUACCCUGAUUUAUACAGAACAAUAUGUGAAUUACCCUGAUUUAUACAGAACAAUAUGUUAAUUACCCUGAUUUAUACACACCGAUAUGUUAAUAUACCCUCUUUAUACAGAACAAUAUGUUAAUUACCCUCUUUACACACAACAAUAUGUGAAUUACCCUGAUUUAUACAGAACAAUAUGUUAAUAUACCCUCUUUAUAAAGAACAAUAUGUGAAUUACCCUGAUUUAUACAGAACAAUAUGUGAAUUACCCUGAUUUAUACAGAACAAUAUGUGAAUUACCCUGAUUUAUACAGAACAAUAUGUUAAUUACCCUCUUUACACACAACAAUAUGUGAAUUACCCUGAUUUAUACAGAACAAUAUGUGAAUUACCCUCUUUACACACAACAAUAUGUGAAUUACCCUGAUUUAUACAGAACAAUAUGUUAAUUACCCUCUUUACACACAACAAUAUGUGAAUUACCCUGAUUUAUACAGAACAGUAUGUGAAUUACCCUGAUUUAUACACAACAAUAUGUUAAUUACCCUCUUUAUACACACCGAUAUGAAAAUGUUUCUAAAGGAUUACCGAGCGACUAUCAUACUGUCUCACACACAUCUGUGUGGCUCGGAGACAGUUGAGUUGUCUUGGACAGAUACUGAUUAGCUGACUGAAUGGUUAAUGACAUGCAUAUAGUCCUGCGGGUUAUUGUAUAAAUAUGUUCAUAUGUAGCCUAUGUAAAUAUAUUAGCAGUUUGGUCAUGAAGAAACACUAGAUGUGUGUGUUUCAUUCUUCAAUUUUUUAUACAUUUAAGUGUUGUAAUAUUAUAGCCUACACAAUGUCAUCAUAAUGUACUCUGUGGUGGGUUUUGAUGUAUGAAUUGUCAUAAAUCUGCUGCUGGCAAAGCUUAAACGAAUUGUCUGAUUCUUCUGCCACUCGAGACCAGCCAAUGUUGCGAAUACCUGCCACUAGGGGUCGCUUGAAUAUAAUUUAGGGAGAGAGGUGGUAGAGAAACGGUUUUGAUAGUUUUGCAGCGCUCAUGCAACAUCGCCAACAGUGUACCCAAUACAAUUUGCUAUAUAGGUCCACUUGACAGUCUCUGUUCUCUGACGCCGCUCUUGUAGAGGCAGAACGCAUCACACACGAUCUGUUCAGCUUUAAGACUUUUGAUGCAUGGAUUUGAUAGUCAGUGUAGAAUAUUGUGUUAUUGCAGAGGACGGAAUUAAAUAAAUCUCACUAACUCCAUGCACUGCUCAACGGGUAAGUCUUUUUUUAACCAGUAUUCAUUUGUUAUAGGGCCCAGUUAAAAUAAAACAUUGUUCUGUUUAAUAUGCAUAUAAAUACGUUCAUC
rnacentral:lncRNA from 1 species